rnacentral:lncRNA from 1 species
UUCCUCAGCUCCUCCCACUGACUCAUUUCCCUUAGGGCUACAAGAGCAGAGCUGAAAUUCCUGGUGGGAUAUGAGGGAUUUGGGAACCCUGGAAGUCGUUCCUGGGCAGUGAGGUGUGUGGAUGAAUACACGCAGGCUCCUCUGUGUGUGUGUGCGUGCUGGGGAGGCUUGGCACUGAGAUGCCUCCUAUGUCUCCCUCCCACCUCCUUCUCCUGAAAGGGGGAUGGAUGUCGUGUGUCCCUGCAGUGUCCAGGCAGGACUAGUCAUAUCAGCAGAUAUCGGGGGAGGGGUGGAGGCUGCAGUGAGCGGAGAUCGCGCCACUGUACUCCAGCCUGUGUGACAGAACAAGACCCUGAGUUAAAAAAAAAAGAAAGAAUAUUAUGUAUUCUUGAAAUUAUAUAGAUUUUAUAGUAUGGAUAUACUAUGGUUUCUAUACCUUUCACCUGUUGGAGAGCAUCAGAGUUGUUUCCCCUUUUUGACUAUUACAGAUGAUUAUUAUGAAGGAGGCAGAGAACCUAAGGCCGAUCCACGCUGGACUUCCUAGAACUAAAUCAAAUGGAAACACUUCAGCUACGACAGGAAAUAUCCUCUUCAUUUACAUAGGGCAUACACCAAGUAACCAAUGGAAACCUCUAGAGUAUAUUUCAACCCAGAAUACUCUGUAAUGGGGCUCUUGAGCCCCUAUGCUCGACGCCCCUAUGGGGUAUACUUUCAUUUUCAAUAAAUCUCUGUGUUUGUUGCUUCAUUCUUUCCUUGCUUUGUUUGUGUGUUUUGUCCAAUUCUUUGUUCAAGACGCCAAGAACCUGGACACCUUUAACUGGUAACAUAUCUUAGUGAACCAGCCAGGAGGUAAGCCCAAAGUUUGGGAUUUAUUUUUCUCCUUUCCCCUUUCUUUUCUGCUCUAUACAAGUGAGUCUCUCUCUUUCUCUCUCUCUCUCUCUCUCUCUCUCUCUCUCUCUCUCUCUCUUUUCCUUUCCAACUUGGGACACUUGGUGGGCAGCGCCUAAACACAGAGGCAACUGCAGGCUUCUGGCCAGGGCCACUCUGAAGGACAAUUUUUUAUCUUUUCCAGUUGUGGUCCCUGAUCCCUACAUUUGGUGCAGCUCGGGCAAACUCACAUGAGUUUCAGCAAUGUGUUUGUCUGCAUACAGUUAAGCAGGGCCACUAGGGCCACUCAGGGAGAAAGAACUCAGAAGCCUGACAUGCCAGCAAAAAGGUAAGAAUUUCUUACCAGUCAGACUCUGGUCUCUGUCUCUCUCUGCAAACUGGUUAAAUAAAUGGUAAAAGUCACUGUUUAUCUCCUCUGCAAAGUUUUGAUUAAUACAGAAAAAGAAUUCUGAGGCUGGUCUUAAACUGUAGUGAAUCCGGAGUGCUUUAUGUGACUUUCUAUACUGUUCUGUUAUAAAGAGGGGCACCUUAGGAUAAAAUGCAUGCCUGGGAACCUAUAGGCUCGCUAUUCAAGGCUGCCCAGCAAACUGGUCAGUCAUGUCCUUGGGAGCUUGACCUUGUAACCAUGUGGCCAUGCUUUCUCUUUUCACAAUGGCGGCCCAGGUUUAGGUUUCAAUUCCUGGCUUAGGGAAUGAGUCCUUUAUCUUCUGCCUGUCUGUGUAUUUAUAUGUGUUGUGUGUGUAAUGUAAAAGAGCUUUAAUUGAUUGGUUUAAUAAUAAUAAGAGUGUUGUGGGAAGUCAGGGACCCUGAACGGAGGGACCAGCUGGAGCUGUGGCAGAGGAACAUAAAUUGUGAAGAUUUCAUGGACAUGUAUCACUUCCCUAAUAAUACUCUUAUAAUUUCUUACACUUGUCUUACUUUAAUCUCUUAAUCCUGUUAUCUUCGUAAGCUGAGGAUGUACAUCACCUCAGGUCCACUGUGAUGAUUGCAUUAACUGUACAAAUUGAUUGUAAAACAUGUGUGUUUGAACAAUAUGAAAUUAGUGCACCUUGAAAACGAACAGAAUAACAGUGAUUUUAGGAAACAAGGGAAGAAAACCAUAACGUCUGACUGCCUGCGGGGUCGGGCAAAAAGAGCCAUAUUUUUCUUCUUGCAGAGAGUCCUAUAAAUGGACGUGCAAGUAGGUGAGAUAUCGCUAAAUUCUUUUCCUAGCAAGGAAGAUUGAUACUAAUACUCCAGGAAGAGAAUUACAUUCCUGGGGGGAGGUCUAUAAACGGCCACUCUGGGAGUGUCUGUCUUAUAUGGUUGAGUAAGGACUGAAAUAUGCCUUGGUCUCCUGCAGUACCCUCAGGCUUAUUAGGGUUGGGAAAAAACCCCACCCUGGUAAAUUUGAGGUCAGACCAGUUCUCUGCUGUCAAACUCUGUUUUCUGUUGUUUAAGAUGUUUAUCAAGACAAUACGUGCACAGCCGAACAUAGACCCUUAUCAGGAGUUCCUGAUUUUGUCCUUGCUCUGUUUCCUCAGAAGCAUGUGAUCUUUGUUCUCCUUUGUGCCCUUUGAAGCAUGUGAUUUUUGUGACCUACUCCCUGUUCUUACACCCCCUCCCCUUUUGAAAUCCCUAAUAAAAACUUGCUGGUUUUGCGGCUCAGGUGGGCAUCAUGGUCCUACAGAUAUGUGAUUCACCCCCAGCGGCCCAGCUGUAAAAUUCCUCUCUUUGUACUCUUUCUCUUUAUUUCUCAGACCAGCCAACACUUAGGGAAAAUAGAAAGAACCUACAUUGAAAUACUGGGGGCGGGUUCCCCUGAUAUAAGAGCUUAAAUAUUUUGUCAGAAAAGUAGAAAGUGUAAUGCCUUUUUAAAAAUUUUAUUUUAUUUUUGAGAUGGAGUCUCUCUCUGUCGCCAGGCUGGAGUGCAGUGGCAUGAUCCCGGUCACUGCAACCUCUCUCUGCCUCCCAGGUUCAAGUGAUUCUCCUGUCUCAGCCUCUUGAGUAGCUGGGACUACAGGCAUGAGCCACCACGCCUGGCUAAUUUUGUAUUUUUAGUAGAGAUGAGCUUUCACCAUAUUGGUCAGGCUGGUCUUGAACUCCUGACCUCAGUUUUUGUAUUUUUAGUAGAGAUGGGGUUUCACCAUGUUGGCCAGGCUGGUCUCGAACUCCUGGCCUCAAGUGACUGGCCCACCUCAGCCUCCCAAAGUGUAGGGAUUACAGGCAUGAGCCACUGCACCCUGCCUCAAUUGUUAUUUUCAAUGCAUGUUUUCUGGUUGUAUAAAAGCUUUCCGAUGCAAGAGGGCUGAUGUUAUAACAGUAGAUUAUUAUGCUAUGGUAUAUUUUCACCAGGUAAAGAAAGCUUUUUAUGGUUUGGAUCUUCUGAGAACAUCAGAGAAAGACUGUCCUUGCCAUCCACACUACAGCAAAAUUUUGGGACCUUGAACUUUGGGUUUAUAAUCUCACAACUGAGAAGGGUCCCUCCACAUUCUUGGAACUGUAUAUCCAUUGGAAUCCUUAAGAGACCAUCAAGCUUCAGAUGAUCAUGCAACAUGGGUUCCAGCCAGUUCCAAGUGAAGAGACCACCCCCGGCCAUCAAGGAACUAUCCUCCCUCCACUAAACAGAGCAGGGCUAGCGUUCCAUGAUCCCCAAUAGGUAGGGACUAUGCCCUAAGCCAGCAUAAAGUAGUUAAAGAAGAAAGACCAUCCGUUCCUCUGCCUUCUAUAAAGAUUUAUGGGGUCACAUCUCUCAGGGGAGAAAUAAGGCAGGAGAAUAUGGUCUGGAGGCAGGGAACCUAAGGCCAAUUCAUGCUGGACUUCCUAGAAGUGAAUCAAAUGGAAACACUUCAGCUAUGACAGGGAAUAUCCUCUCCAUUUACAUAGGGCAUACACCGAGUAUCCAAUGGAAACCUCUAGAGGGUAUUUAGACCCCAGGAAAUUCUGUAAUGGGGCUCUUCAACCCCUAUGCUUGGGCCACUCCCACCCUGUGUGGUGUGUACUUUUGUUUUCAAUAAAUC